rnacentral:rRNA from 1 species
ACGAACCGUACAAACGUUAUUCGGAAUCACUGGGCUUAAAGGGUGCGUAGGCGGCUUGGAAAGUUGGGUGUGAAAUCCCUCGGCUCAACCGAGGAAUUGCGCUCAAUACUGCCAAGCUAGAGGGAGACAGAGGUAAGCGGAACUUAGGGUGGAGCGGUGAAAUGCGUUGAUAUCCUAAGGAACACCAGUGGCGAAGGCGGCUUACUGGGUCUCUUCUGACGCUGAGGCACGAAAGCUGGGGGAGCGAACGGG